AAAUUGAAGAGUUUGAUCAUGGCUCAGAUUGAACGCUGGCGGCAGGCCUAACACAUGCAAGUCGAACGGUAACAGGAAGCAGCUUGCUGCUUUGCUGACGAGUGGCGGACGGGUGAGUAAUGUCUGGGAAACUGCCUGAUGGAGGGGGAUAACUACUGGAAACGGUAGCUAAUACCGCAUAACGUCGCAAGACCAAAGAGGGGGACCUUCGGGCCUCUUGCCAUCGGAUGUGCCCAGAUGGGAUUAGCUAGUAGGUGGGGUAAAGGCUCACCUAGGCGACGAUCCCUAGCUGGUCUGAGAGGAUGACCAGCCACACUGGAACUGAGACACGGUCCAGACUCCUACGGGAGGCAGCAGUGGGGAAUAUUGCACAAUGGGCGCAAGCCUGAUGCAGCCAUGCCGCGUGUAUGAAGAAGGCCUUCGGGUUGUAAAGUACUUUCAGCGGGGAGGAAGGGAGUAAAGUUAAUACCUUUGCUCAUUGACGUUACCCGCAGAAGAAGCACCGGCUAACUCCGUGCCAGCAGCCGCGGUAAUACGGAGGGUGCAAGCGUUAAUCGGA
rnacentral:rRNA from 1 species